rnacentral:misc_RNA from 1 species
ACCUUUUUUUUUUUUCUCCUUUUUCUUCUUCUUGUAUAAAUAUUAACAGCCAUAUAUAAUAGUAUCCUUAUUUCAUCAUAAUGAUGCUGAAACAGGAAAUUUUGGGUACUAUCCGUGGAAAUUAAUUAUUUACUAAUGAUUUUAUCCUCCAUUAAUCAAGGAAAUAGCAUUCUUGAAUAUCAGAUUUUUUUUCUAAUUAAGGAAAUAAAUGCUGUAAAUUCUGAAUUUGUGCACUAGGAGAGAGAGGAUAAAUCUUUAGAUGAUGAUUAUUAUUAUUAUUAAAUGGGCGUUUCUGUGCUUGCUUU